UCCAAACAUAAGCAACAGCCAGCAUCUCUGCCAAGUCUCGGCACUGGGCCUGCCGGUCCGGAGCUCAGUUCCCGGGGACAGCGCCUGGUUCCCUGGCUCCUCGAGCUCCACCAGCCAGCCUCACCCAGAUGGGGAGUCAUGUCCACACAGGAGCCACUUCCAAGCGGUAGAACCAGGCUCCGAGGCCACCUCACUUUCUGCAGGAAAUCCAAGGAAACCCAGCGCCUGCUAAGUAGCACAAGGAUAAAAACUGCUUUCCACCAAACCAAGAGUCGGAGGGUUUUUGAAGUUAAGGAGACAAAACAUGAGUGCAAAACAAGCAAGUACAGGUCCCACCGCCUGGGAACCGUGACAGGGUGCCCGGUGGGUUUCAGGUAUGUGACCACUCCAGUGAGUCAGGGGACAGCCAAGCGGGUUCGAAAGUGUUCCGGGGCAAUCGCUUCUCCGGAGCCAAGACGCUGAAUCAGAGGGGAGAAGGAAUGAAAACAGGGUAGAUUCGGAAGGAAUGCUAUCAAGUCCAAAGCUAUACAUCUUUAGAAGUCCCUUAUUGCAUAGGCCUGAACUGCCAAAUGUAGAAGCUACGGCACAUUGCUGCUCCAUUUCUUGACCUAUAAAAUGACUGAAAUCGUGUGUUUUCACACGAUAAAAAGCUGCAUGCAUAAUGUAAAAACAGAAAGAAAUAAAACUUGGAGUCAAAACAACCAAGAUCAGGUUAUAGCUUUUUUUCUUACUGGGUUUCCUUAGGCGUCUCUGGUGUGUGGGGAUGGCUUCCGUUUUGGACGCGUGGCAGUGAACUGGUUAAGUCUGAUUGGUAAAUGAGGAUUCUAACACAGCAACCUAAACAGGCAAGCAAUAAAGUAUGAAGAUUUCAUCCUA